rnacentral:lncRNA from 1 species
CCAAAUAUCGGUUUGCUUUGAAACUUUCCGCCAAACUAGCCUUGGCAUUCUAUUUCACGUAUUCUAGUUGGAAUUUCCAAAAAAACCCAAAAUUGGUGUAGAUUCGAAUCAAAAUCACGGUCUCUUUUCCUCUCUACUGGUCUAAGGCCACUACCUCCGGGUAUGUUGUUCACGUUUUCCUUAGUUGGCGCCUCACCAAUUUUGAAGCCCCAAAACAAGCUAGAUCGA